GGGCCUGGAUGGCGCCGA
rnacentral:misc_RNA from 1 species